AACGAACGCUGGCGGCAUGCCUAACACAUGCAAGUCGAACGAGACCUUCGGGUCUAGUGGCGCACGGGUGCGUAACGCGUGGGAACCUGCCUUUAGGUUCGGAAUAACUCAGAGAAAUUUGAGCUAAUACCGGAUGAUGUCUUCGGACCAAAGAUUUAUCGCCUUAAGAUGGGCCCGCGUUGGAUUAGCUAGUUGGUGGGGUAAAGGCCUACCAAGGCGACGAUCCAUAGCUGGUCUGAGAGGAUGAUCAGCCACACUGGGACUGAGACACGGCCCAGACUCCUACGGGAGGCAGCAGUGGGGAAUAUUGGACAAGGGGCGAAAGCCUGAUCCAGCAAUGCCGCGUGAGUGAUGAAGGCCUUAGGGUUGUAAAGCUCUUUUACCCGAGAUGAUAAUGACAGUAUCGGGAGAAUAAGCUCCGGCUAACUCCGU
rnacentral:rRNA from 1 species